UGCGUAACGCGUGAGCAACCUACCUCUAUCGGGGGGAUAGCCUCUCAAAAGAGAGAUUAACACCGCAAAAUAUAAUGUACCGGCAUCGGGAGAUUAUUAAAUAUUUAUAGGAUAGAGAUGGGCUCGCGUGACAUUAGCUAGUUGGUAGGGUAACGGCUUACCAAGGCGACUAUGUCUAGGGGCUCUGAGAGGAGAAUCCCCCACACUGGUACUGACACACGGACCAGACUCCUACGGGAGGCAGCAGUAAAGAAUAUUGGUCAAUGGGCGGAAGCCUGAACCAGCCAUGCCGCGUGCAGGAUGACUGCCCUAUGGGUUGUAAACUGCUUUUGUCCAGGAAUAAACCUAGAUACGUGUAUCUAGCUGAAUGUACUGGAAGAAUAAGGAUCGGCUAACUCCGUGCCAGCAGCCGC
rnacentral:rRNA from 1 species